rnacentral:rRNA from 1 species
GAUGAACGCUGGCGGCGUGCCUAAUACAUGCAAGUCGAGCGAACAGACGAGGAGCUUGCUCCUUUGACGUUAGCGGCGGUCGGGUGAGUAACACGUGGGUAACCUACCUAUAAGACUGGGAUAACUUCGGGAAACCGGAGCUAAUACCGGAUAAUAUUUCGAACCGCAUGGUUCGAUAGUGAAAGAUGGCUUUGCUAUCACUUAUAGAUGGACCUGCGCCGUAUUAGCUAGUUGGUAAGGUAACGGCUUACCAAGGCAACGAUACGUAGCCGACCUGAGAGGGUGAUCGGCCACACUGGAACUGAGACACGGUCCAGACUCCUACGGGAGGCAGCAGUAGGGAAUCUUCCGCAAUGGGCGAAAGCCUGACGGAGCAACGCCGCGUGAGUGAUGAAGGUCUUCGGAUCGUAAAACUCUGUUAUUAGGGAAGAACAAACGUGUAAGUAACUGUGCACGUCUUGACGGUACCUAAUCAGAAAGCCACGGCUAACUACGUG